AGCGAACGCUGGCGGCAGGCUUAACACAUGCAAGUCGAACGCCCCGCAAGGGGAGUGGCAGACGGGUGAGUAACACGUGGGAACGUACCCUUUGGUUCGGAAUAACUUGGGGAAACUCAAGCUAAUACCGGAUAAGCCCUUAUGGGGAAAGGUUUACUGCCGCAGGAUCGGCCCGCGUCUGAUUAGCUAGUUGGAGAGGGAAUGGCUCACCAAGGCGACGAUCAGUAACUGGUCUGCGAGGAUGAACAGCCACACUGGGACUGAGAAACGGCGCAGACUCCUACGGGAGGCAGCAGUGGGGAAUAUUGGACAAUGGGGGCAACCCUGAUCCAGCCAUGCCGCGUGAGUGAUGAAGGCCUUAGGGUUGUAAAGCUCUUUUACCCGGGACGAUAAUGACUGUACCGGGAGAAUAAGCCCCGGCUAACUUCGUGCCAGCCGCCGCCGUAA
rnacentral:rRNA from 1 species